AUGCAGCGGCACCUAAUGGUGACAGUUGUUAAAGCGGGGGAUCGCAAGACCUCGCGUCUAAAGAGGAGCCUGCGGCAGAUUAGCUAGUUGGUAAGGUAACGGCUUACCAAGGCGAUGAUCUGUAGCCGGCCUGAGAGGGCGGUCGGCCACACUGACACUGACAUACGGGUCAGACUCCUACGGGAGGCAGCAGUCGGGAAUUUUGGGCAAUGGGCGAAAGCCUGACCCAGCAACGCCGCGUGAAGGAUGAAAUCCCUCGGGAUGUAAACUUCGCAGGAACGGGAAGAAUAAGCCGGUGCAAAUAUCACCGGCGAUGACGGUACCGUUUGUAAGCUCCGGCUAACUCCGUGCCAGCAGCCGCGGUAAUACGGGGGGAGCAAGCGUUGUUCGGAUUUACUGGGCGUAAAGGGCGCGUAGGCGGCCACUGCAAGUCGACUGUGAAAUCUCCGGGCUUAACUCGGAAAGGUCAGCCGAUACUGCGGGGCUAGAGUGCAGAAGGGGCAACUGGAAUUCUCGGUGUAGCGGUGAAAUGCGUAGAUAUCGAGAGGAACACCUGCGGCGAAGGCGGGUUGCUGGGCUGACACUGACGCUGAGGCGCG
rnacentral:rRNA from 1 species